rnacentral:rRNA from 1 species
AACGAACGCUGGCGGCAUGCCUAACACAUGCAAGUCGAACGAGACCUUCGGGUCUAGUGGCGCACGGGUGCGUAACGCGUGGGAACCUGCCCUUAGGUUCGGAAUAACUCCCCGAAAGGGGUGCUAAUACCGGAUACUGUCUUCGGACCAAAGAUUUAUCGCCUUUGGAUGGGCCCGCGUUUGAUUAGCUAGUUGGUAGGGUAAAAGCCUACCAAGGCGACGAUCCAUAGCUGGUCUGAGAGGAUGAUCAGCCACACUGGGACUGAGACACGGCCCAGACUCCUACGGGAGGCAGCAGUGGGGAAUAUUGGACAAGGGGCGAAAGCCUGAUCCAGCAAUGCCGCGUGAGUGAUGAAGGCCUUAGGGUUGUAAAGCUCUUUUACCCGGGAUGAUAAUGACAGUACCGGGAGAAUAAGCUCCGGCUAACUCCGUA